UGCAGUUGUAUGGCGCAACUAAUGUGUUGGGAGGUGGCGACACUCCCCAACUGAGCACUCUCCGUUCUCUCCGAAGCUUAAGAGAAAAUGGUGGAACUGCUUUUGUUGGGGUAACUGAGCUAGAAUUCUCCCACAUAGCAUUUUACUCUACUGUGUGGAGUUAAUUGCGCUUAUAUUGCAGCUUGUCCAGCCCGUCCGUCUCUUGCAGGAACACACAUGGACGGAGUUCGAAGACAAGCAUUACAAGUGUGGUCCGGCUCCUGGUUGUGACAAGACUUGGUGGUUCGGCGUCAAGGAAACAUUUGGAUUUGAUUUCCCUAAUAUAAGUGUGAGGAUGAAUGAGAAUGAUGAUGCAAAAGUGAAGAGAAGUGUUUGCAAUGAUAGGGAAGAACAGAAUGUAUGGUAUUACCUCUUGACAGCAUGUCACACACACUGUGGCCAGCUUGUGAGAAAUCUGCCGUCAUACUCCUUGUGUUAGAACAGAAAAAAAAAAAAAAAACAUUCAUUUGACUCUGCUGCUGUUGCAUGUUCAUUAUCAUCCUUGCAGCUUCCCUAAAACAUCAAUGGCGACAUCAAGGUGACACGGAGCAGUGCCAUCAUGCGUUACACUGCUUGCAAACACGAAAUCUGUGGCAAAACUGAGAAGAUCCGCAUUGACAUCCAGGAGAACCAAUCUAUGGACCUCCACAACGGUUUCGUUCACCUUUGUUACUUGAUAUAUGUAUGUAGUGAUGGAGUUUUCCCUUGUUUUAAAAUGAUUUCCAAGAUUGGUGCAGCGACUCAUACCACAGGGAGAUUAUAACGUGCAAGAGUUACUGGGAUCCAUCUCCUAAGUCUUUAUUUUUAUCCAUACGGGACUGUGGCAAGGAGGUGUAUCUACAGGUUCUGCCAAAGAGCAUCGAGAGGUUCUCAAGGACACGCUCUUGGUUGGCAAGUGAUGAUGUAAGCAUGGCUGGUGCCCUGUUGAGAUGUUCAGCCUUGGAGGAUCAGAGUAUCAUUGAAAAUAUUUAUCUAAAGGUGGGAUUAUUGUCAUGAGAGGUGCACUUGUCUAGGAUCGAAUCUUGAGUGAUCAUUAAGGCCCGAGUGCUUUUUAAGAUAGCCUGAACUGUCUUAACACCACACAAACUCCUGAGAAUGUAACUGAAGGUUUGAGAAGUGAAUAUUAAUGCUUUUUUUGUCAUUUUACAGUACUGUUAUAUCUAUGACCUGAUUUAGAUGUUUGGUAGGUAAAAUAAUCCAUAACAGAAUGAGAAUUCAUAAUUUUGUUCUUAGUAAUACAUUUUCCUGAUCUAAAUGUUGGUCAGCUUGAGGUCAUUUCAUAGUAGAAAAACAUCUUUGGUUGUCAGACGUUGAACGAAAUUAUAAACUUUUGUAUAGUUUACGAGUAAAGUGAGAAGAUUGGAUAACACGACAGUAGGUGGCGUGGUGGUGGAGGUGUGACGUCAGGAGGCCAGUCAGGUGAUCAGACGAAGGUGAGGGUCGAGAAGAAGAGCCCGCCCAUUUGGGUGUUGGACGGCUUAGAGGUUUGCAAGACAGACAGAAAGGCGACUGAGAAUCGAUGAAGGAAGAAGAUUGAACGGCGAGAGGAAGUCAACGAGCAACAGACGAGAUGGACAGAGAACAGAAGACUGGGGAAGAAUUGGUAGUCGUAGUAAUGGUAGUAAUCUAAAGUGUAAUAAAAGUUCCUGAUUACA